rnacentral:rRNA from 1 species
GAUGAACGCUGGCGGCGUGCCUAAUACAUGCAAGUCGAGCGAACGGACGAGAAGCUUGCUUCUCUGAUGUUAGCGGCGGACGGGUGAGUAACACGUGGAUAACCUACCUAUAAGACUGGGAUAACUUCGGGAAACCGGAGCUAAUACCGGAUAAUAUUUUGAACCGCAUGGUUCAAAAGUGAAAGACGGUCUUGCUGUCACUUAUAGAUGGAUCCGCGCUGCAUUAGCUAGUUGGUAAGGUAACGGCUUACCAAGGCAACGAUGCAUAGCCGACCUGAGAGGGUGAUCGGCCACACUGGAACUGAGACACGGUCCAGACUCCUACGGGAGGCAGCAGUAGGGAAUCUUCCGCAAUGGGCGAAAGCCUGACGGAGCAACGCCGCGUGAGUGAUGAAGGUCUUCGGAUCGUAAAACUCUGUUAUUAGGGAAGAACAUAUGUGUAAGUAACUGUGCACAUCUUGACGGUACCUAAUCAGAAAGCCACGGCUAACUACGUGCCAGCAGCCGCGGUAAUACGUAGGUGGCAAGCGUUAUCCGGAAUUAUUGGGCGUAAAGCGCGCGUAGGCGGUUUUUUAAGUCUGAUGUGGAAGCCCACGGCUCAACCGUGGAGGGUCAUUGGAAGCUGGAAAACUUGAGUGCAGAAGAGGAAAGUGGAAUUCCAUGUGUAGCGGUGAAAUGCGCAGAGAUAUGGAGGAACACCAGUGGCGAAGGCGACUUUCUGGUCUGUAACUGACGCUGAUGUGCGAAAGCGUGGGGAUCAAACAGGAUUAGAUACCCUGGUAGUCCACGCCGUAAACGAUGAGUGCUAAGUGUUAGGGGGUUUCCGCCCCUUAGUGCUGCAGCUAACGCAUUAAGCACUCCGCCUGGGGAGUACGACCGCAAGGUUGAAACUCAAAGGAAUUGACGGGGACCCGCACAAGCGGUGGAGCAUGUGGUUUAAUUCGAAGCAACGCGAAGAACCUUACCAAAUCUUGACAUCCUUUGACAACUCUAGAGAUAGAGCCUUCCCCUUCGGGGGACAAAGUGACAGGUGGUGCAUGGUUGUCGUCAGCUCGUGUCGUGAGAUGUUGGGUUAAGUCCCGCAACGAGCGCAACCCUUAAGCUUAGUUGCCAUCAUUAAGUUGGGCACUCUAAGUUGACUGCCGGUGACAAACCGGAGGAAGGUGGGGAUGACGUCAAAUCAUCAUGCCCCUUAUGAUUUGGGCUACACACGUGCUACAAUGGACAAUACAAAGGGCAGCGAAACCGCGAGGUCAAGCAAAUCCCAUAAAGUUGUUCUCAGUUCGGAUUGUAGUCUGCAACUCGACUACAUGAAGCUGGAAUCGCUAGUAAUCGUAGAUCAGCAUGCUACGGUGAAUACGUUCCCGGGUCU